rnacentral:rRNA from 1 species
AUUGAACGCUGGCGGCAUGCUUUACACAUGCAAGUCGAACGGCAGCACGGGUGCUUGCACCUGGUGGCGAGUGGCGAACGGGUGAGUAAUGCAUCGGAACGUACCUAUCAGUGGGGGAUAACACAUCGAAAGAUGUGCUAAUACCGCAUAUUAUCCGAGGAUGAAAGCGGGGGACCUUAGGGCCUCGCGCUGAUAGAGCGGCCGAUGUCGGAUUAGCUAGUUGGUGAGGUAAAGGCUCACCAAGGCGACGAUCCGUAGCGGGUCUGAGAGGAUGAUCCGCCACACUGGGACUGAGACACGGCCCAGACUCCUACGGGAGGCAGCAGUGGGGAAUUUUGGACAAUGGGCGAAAGCCUGAUCCAGCCAUGCCGCGUGAGUGAAGAAGGCCUCGGUGUAAGACUCUUUGUCGGUAGGAAGUACUAGACCCUAACUACGGUA